rnacentral:sRNA from 1 species
GGGACCCGAAGGCCCCAAUCUAGUCUUAGUCUACACUCCACAUCCUUGAGGUGCUGCUGGGUGAGGAGAAACACAAAUGGAACAGGAUGAUUAUGCCCAUUUAACAGAGUGGGAAAUGGAGGCCUAAAGAAUGUGGAGGGCCAGAGGUAACGCAUACAUCCUCCACCCCUAAAUUCCCACAGAUAAACCGGCCCCCGGUGAAGCUGACCCUGCUGACGUGCCAAGUGAGGCCAAACCCUGAGGAGAAAAAGUGCUUCGACCUGGUGACCCACAACCGGACAUACCACUUUCAGGCAGAGGACGAGCACGAGUGUGAGGCGUGGGUGUCAGUGUUGCAGAACAGCAAGGACGAAGCCCUGAGCAGCGCCUUCCUCGGGGAGCCCAGCGGUGGCCCGGGGUCUUGGGGGUCCGCCGGCCAUGACGGGGAGCCGCACGACCUCACAAAGCUGCUCAUCGCGGAGGUGAAGAGCAGGCCUGGGAAUAGCCAGUGCUGCGACUGCGGGGCUGCAGACCCCACGUGGCUCAGCACCAACCUGGGCGUGCUCACCUGCAUCCAGUGCUCGGGCGUCCACCGCGAACUGGGCGUGCGCU